rnacentral:rRNA from 1 species
GACGAACGCUGGCGGCGUGCUUAACACAUGCAAGUCGAACGGAAAGUCCCUGGUUUUGUGGGGUGCUCGAGUGGCGAACGGGUGAGUAACACGUGAGUAACCUGCCCUUGACUUUGGGAUAACUUCAGGAAACUGGGGCUAAUACCGAAUAGGUACUCCUGCUGCAUGGUGGGGGUUGGAAAGUUUCGGCGGUUGGGGAUGGACUCGCGGCUGAUCGGCUUGUUGGUGGGGUAGUGGCGUACCAAGGCUUUGACGGGUAGACGGCCUGUGAGGGUGACCGGCGACAUUGGGACUGCGAUACGGCCCAGAAUCCUACGGGCGGCAGCAGUGGGGAAUAUUGCACAAUGGGCGGAAGCGUGAUGCAGCAACGCCGCGUGCGGGAUGACGGCCUUCGGGUUAUAAACCGCUUUGGCCUGUGACGAAGCGUGAGUGACGGUAAUGGGUAAAGAAGCACCGGCUAACUACGUG